GUGGAAUUUGGUGGCUAGCGCUAAAUGUACUUUUGAAUUAGGAUAAUGGGUUUCCUAUUGAUGGAUUGUAUAGGAGUUAAAUUUAACAGUUACUUUCACUCAGAAGUUAAUUAUAGUUGUUCUACUUCUUGCUUUUAUCUGAGGGAUAUUUAAAUGAUAGUUGUUUCUAUUAAUGGAGAAAAUAUGCUUUUUUCAAAAAUGCCAAAAGCUGAUGAA